CGGGCGUCAGAGCCGGGCGGGGACGGGCCGGGCGCAGCCCUCCAUACAAGGCAGAGAGGAACUCCCAAAGUCGGCGUCGCCUGUUCCCGCCGUGGGGCAAGGGGAGGCCGAGCUGAACAGGCCGAAUGGGGCUCCCCAGGGGACCACAGGCAGCCUGCGAGCAUCCACUGGAGCGCAGACUCCUGCUGAGCACUUGGCUCGCCCCCUCCCUGGUUUCUUUUUUCUUUUUUUUCUUUAUUUUUUUUUCUUUUUGCAGUCUGGCAGGGGCCCCCCAAGCCCUUCUCCCAGGCGUAGAAUCUACUGCCUGCCUAGGAAUGGUGAAGUGAUUUGACAACACAUGUAGGAGGGGUUUGUGGACAAAAGGCUUAUGGAGUAAAAAGAAUGUAAUAAAGUUCUUGAGAAAGGUCUCUCUACAUAGCACUGCUGUCCUGGAACUCACUACACAUCUAGACCAGACUGGCUCUUUCUGGCCUUGAAAUCACAGAGAUUCACCAGUCUGUCUCUUGAGUCCUGGGAUUAAAGUCAUGCAUCACUACACUCUAAUAUAACAAUAGCUUUUAUGUUAUUCAGCCUCAAAAGUCUGCAAAUCAUAGCAUUUGACAUUAAGCUUUUUUAUUCUUGUUUUGUUUUCCCUGUUCCUCCAUUUUCACUUCUGUUAAUCAUAAUCACACUCGAGGAAAAUAAUGGCCCACAGCAAGACUUUCUACUAAAAGAGGUAAAGAAACCCUACAUUCCUCUAAAACGUCUGCAGUCUACCCACAGAGCUGGGAUCGUGUUUUGUGUCACUCUAUCCAUCCGGGCUGUGAAUUAGAGCACAGUCCAUCAAAGGCAUGUCCUCAGGCCUACCUAGGCAAAGGGGAGUGGAAAAUGCAAUUAUUUAUCCAAACAUUCAUUAGCAACAGCAAUGCAUGGGAAGCAGUCAAGAAUAGAUAGACAGUAGAUGUUGAAAUGGCCAACAAUACCAACUUCUAGCAUUGGUUCCUGUUUCCCAGAUCAUAUUGAUACAACUUUUUAGCAAAGAGGAAGGCAGCAGAUGCCAUAUAUGGUGACUGACUCUUCUAAGGUUUUGGUUUUGUAGUCUGUAAAUACAUAGACUUACCACUACAGUCUAGUUUCUACACAGCAAAGGCUGCUCUGGAACAGUCAUCUGUUACUUAUAGAACUACAGAGAUUUGAAAUAAUCUGUCAGAGAGGGGUCCAUAGAAGCACUGCAGUGAUGAGCAUGGGAGAGAAACCGGAGAGCCACCAUUUCACUGUGGUUCCCAUGUGCAUUCAUCUUAGAGGCUUAAAAUGCCUAAGAUCGUGAGAACAUGUACACAAUUAUCUGAAUACAUUUAGGGAACUCUACUUUUACAGUCCGAUACUCCACUGAUAGAUGACCAAAUGAAGGUCAUGUUACUAUGGUUUCGCAGAUGGAAAUAUGUGAACUUUUGUUGUUGUACAUGGAUACAUCAGGAAACCAACAGACGAUUAUUAUUCAGUGACAGGACUCAGACAUCCAGGGUGAUCGAGAGUAAUCCUCAAGAUUCUGGAUAAUUUGGAAAAAAAAGAAUGCUAUGAUACCU
ensembl:lncRNA